UACGUAGGGUGCAAGCGUUAUCCGGAAUUAUUGGGCGUAAAGGGUGCGUAGGCGGUGCGGUAAGUCUGUAGUGAAAUCUCUGGGCUCAACUCAGAGUCUGCUAUAGAAACUGCCGUGCUUGAGUGUGGGAGAGGUGAGUGGAAUUCCCGGUGUAGCGGUGAAAUGCGUAGAUAUCAGGAGGAACACCUGUGGUGUAGACAGCUUACUGGACCACUUCUGACGCUGAGACACGAAAGCGUGGGUAGCAAACAGG
rnacentral:rRNA from 1 species